rnacentral:rRNA from 1 species
GCCGACAUCGAGGUGCCAAACCUCGAACCUAUCUACCUCAUCGCAUCCUGGGGCUGUAGUCGGUCCCAAGGGUUGGGCUGUUCGCCCAUUAAAGCGGUACGCGAGCUGGGUUCAGAACGUCGUGAGACAGUUCGGUCCCUAUCCGUCGCGGGCGCAGGAAAUUUGAGAGGAGCUGUCCUUAGUACGAGAGGACCGGGAUGGACACACCGCUGGUGUACCAGUUGUUCUGCCAAGAGCAUCGCUGGGUAGCUAUGUGUGGCCGGGAUAAGUGCUGAAAGCAUCUAAGCACGAAGCCCCCCUCAAGAUGAGAUUUCCCAUUGCGCAAGCAAGUAAGAUCCCUCAAAGACGAUGAGGUAGAUAGGUUCGGGGUGGAAGCGUGGCGACACGUGCAGCUGACGAAUACUAAUCGAUCGAGGACUUAACCAA